UACGUAGGGUGCAAGCGUUGUCCGGAAUUAUUGGGCGUAAAGAGCUCGUAGGCGGUUUGUCGCGUCUGCCGUGAAAGUCCGGGGCUCAACUCCGGAUCUGCGGUGGGUACGGGCAGACUAGAGUGAUGUAGGGGAGACUGGAAUUCCUGGUGUAGCGGUGGAAUGCGCAGAUAUCAGGAGGAACACCGAUGGCGAAGGCAGGUCUCUGGGCAUUAACUGACGCUGAGGAGCGAAAGCAUGGGGAGCGAACAGG
rnacentral:rRNA from 1 species